rnacentral:rRNA from 1 species
UACGAAGGGGGCUAGCGUUGUUCGGAAUUAUUGGGCGUAAAGCGCACGUAGGCGGUUUGUUAAGUCGGAUGUGAAAUCCCUCGGCUCAACUGAGGAAGUGCAUCCGAAACUGGCAGGCUUGAGUACUAAAGAGGGUCGCGGAAUUCCCGGUGUAGAGGUGAAAUUCGUAGAUAUCGGGAGGAACACCGGUGGCGAAGGCGGCGACCUGGGUAGAUACUGACGCUGAGGUGCGAAAAGCGUGGGUAGCGAACGGG